rnacentral:rRNA from 1 species
CCGUAGCGAAAGCGAGUCUGAAUAGGGCGUUUAGUAUUUGGUCGUAGACCCGAAACCAGGUGAUCUACCCUUGGUCAGGUUGAAGUUCAGGUAACACUGAAUGGAGGACCGAACCGACUUACGUUGAAAAGUGAGCGGAUGAACUGAGGGUAGCGGAGAAAUUCCAAUCGAACCUGGAGAUAGCUGGUUCUCUCCGAAAUAGCUUUAGGGCUAGCCUCAAGUGAUGAUUAUUGGAGGUAGAGCACUGUUUGGACGAGGGGCCCCUCUCGGGUUACCGAAUUCAGACAAACUCCGAAUGCCAAUUAAUUUAACUUGGGAGUCAGAACAUGGGUGAUAAGGUCCGUGUUCGAAAGGGAAACAGCCCAGACCACCAGCUAAGGUCCCAAAAUAUAUGUUAAGUGGAAAAGGAUGUGGCGUUGCCCAGACAACUAGGAUGUUGGCUUAGAAGCAGCCAUCAUUUAAAGAGUGCGUAAUAGCUCACUAGUCGAGUGACACUGCGCCGAAAAUGUACCGGGGCUAAACAUAUUACCGAAGCUGUGGAUUGUCCUUUGGACAAUGGUAGGAGAGCGUUCUAAGGGCGUUGAAGCAUGAUCGUAAGGACAUGUGGAGCGCUUAGAAGUGAGAAUGCCGGUGUGAGUAGCGAAAGACGGGUGAGAAUCCCGUCCACCGAUUGACUAAGGUUUCCAGAGGAAGGCUCGUCCGCUCUGGGUUAGUCGGGUCCUAAGCUGAGGCCGACAGGCGUAGGCGAUGGAUAACAGGUUGAUAUUCCUGUACCACCUAUAAUCGUUUUAAUCGAUGGGGGGACGCAGUAGGAUAGGCGAAGCGUGCGAUUGGAUUGCACGUCUAAGCAGUAAGGCUGAGUAUUAGGCAAAUCCGGUACUCGUUAAGGCUGAGCUGUGAUGGGGAGAAGACAUUGAGUCUUCGAGUCGUUGAUUUCACACUGCCGAGAAAAGCCUCUAGAUAGAAAAUAGGUGCCCGUACCGCAAACCGACACAGGUAGUCAAGAUGAGAAUUCUAAGGUGAGCGAGCGAACUCUCGUUAAGGAACUCGGCAAAAUGACCCCGUAACUUCGGGAGAAGGGGUGCUCUUUAGGGUUAACGCCCAGAAGAGCCGCAGUGAAUAGGCCCAAGCGACUGUUUAUCAAAAACACAGGUCUCUGCUAAACCGUAAGGUGAUGUAUAGGGGCUGACGCCUGCCCGGUGCUGGAAGGUUAAGAGGAGUGGUUAGCUUCUGCGAAGCUACGAAUCGAAGCCCCAGUAAACGGCGGCCGUAACUAUAACGGUCCUAAGGUAGCGAAAUUCCUUGUCGGGUAAGUUCCGACCCGCACGAAAGGCGUAACGAUUUGGGCACUGUCUCAACGAGAGACUCGGUGAAAUCAUAGUACCUGUGAAGAUGCAGGUUACCCGCGACAGGACGGAAAGACCCCGUGGAGCUUUACUGUAGCCUGAUAUUGAAAUUCGGCACAGCUUGUACAGGAUAGGUAGGAGCCUUUGAAACGUGAGCGCUAGCUUACGUGGAGGCGCUGGUGGGAUACUACCCUAGCUGUGUUGGCUUUCUAACCCGCACCACUUAUCGUGGUGGGAGACAGUGUCAGGCGGGCAGUUUGACUGGGGCGGUCGCCUCCUAAAAGGUAACGGAGGCGCUCAAAGGUUCCCUCAGAAUGGUUGGAAAUCAUUCAUAGAGUGUAAAGGCAUAAGGGAGCUUGACUGCGAGACCUACAAGUCGAGCAGGGUCGAAAGACGGACUUAGUGAUCCGGUGGUUCCGCAUGGAAGGGCCAUCGCUCAACGGAUAAAAGCUACCCCGGGGAUAACAGGCUUAUCUCCCCCAAGAGUUCACAUCGACGGGGAGGUUUGGCACCUCGAUGUCGGCUCAUCGCAUCCUGGGGCUGUAGUCGGUCCCAAGGGUUGGGCUGUUCGCCCAUUAAAGCGGUACGCGAGCUGGGUUCAGAACGUCGUGAGACAGUUCGGUCCCUAUCCGUCGUGGGCGUAGGAAAUUUGAGAGGAGCUGUCCUUAGUACGAGAGGACCGGGAUGGACAUACCUCUGGUGUACCAGUUGUCGUGCCAACGGCAUAGCUGGGUAGCUAUGUGUGGACGGGAUAAGUGCUGAAAGCAUCUAAGCAUGAAGCCCCCCUCAAGAUGAGAUUUCCCAACUUCGGUUAUAAGAUCCCUCAAAGAUGAUGAGGUUAAUAGGUUCGAGGUGGAAGCAUGGUGACAUGUGGAGCUGACGAAUACUAAUCGAUCGAAGACUUAAUCAA